rnacentral:misc_RNA from 1 species
AACGCACAUUGCGCCCUUUGGUAUUCCGAAGGGCAUGCCUGUUCGAGCGUCAUUAUCACCCCUCAAGCCCCCGGCUUGGUGUUGGACGGUUUGGUGGAGGCCCCCCGCGGGCACCCCACCCCUCCCAAAGACAAUGACGGCGGCCUCGCUGGACCCCCGGUACACUGAGUUCUUCACGGGACACGUAUCGGACACAUGGGUGCACGGGACACGGUCUACCUCCCCUCAGGGAGAAUCUUUUAUCAAGGUUGACCUCGGAUCAGGUAGGGAUACCCGCUGAACUUAA